rnacentral:rRNA from 1 species
UGGUCAUUUAGAGGAAGUAAAAGUCGUAACAAGGUUUCCGUAGGUGAACCUGCGGAAGGAUCAUUAUUGAAAUAAACCUGAUAAGUUGCUGCUGGUUCUCUAGGGAGCAUGUGCACACUUGUCAUCUUUGUAUCUUCACCUGUGCAUCUUUUGUAGACCUGAGAAUCUCUCUGAAUGCUUUUAGCACUCAGGAUUGAGGAUUGACUUGAUGUCUUUUCUUACAUUUUCAGGCCUAUGUUUUUCAUAUACCCUAAUGUAUGUUUAUAGAAUGUAAUGAAUGGGCCUUUGUGCCUAUAAACAUUUACAACUUUCAGCAACGGAUCUCUUGGCUCUCGCAUCGAUGAAGAACGCAGCGAAAUGCGAUAAGUAAUGUGAAUUGCAGAAUUCAGUGAAUCAUCGAAUCUUUGAACGCACCUUGCGCUCCUUGGUAUUCCGAGGAGCAUGCCUGUUUGAGUGUCAUUAAUAUCUAUCAACCUCUAUGGUUGGAUGUGGGUUUGCUGGUCCUUCUUGAGGUCAGCUCCCCUUAAAUGCAUUAGCGGACAACAUUUUGCCAACUGUUCAUUGGUGUGAUAAUUAUCUACGCUAUUGACGUGAAGCAAAGUUCAGCUUAUAGCAGUCCAUUGACUUGGACAAAUUUAUUUUAUUAAUGUGACCUCAAAUCAGGUAGGACUACCCGCUGAACUUAAGCAUAUCAAUAAGCGGAGG